UGGGUUGUAGCUCAGUGGUAGAGCACUUGUCUAGCAAGUGUGAGGCACUGGGUUCGAUUCUCAGCACCACAU
rnacentral:tRNA from 1 species